rnacentral:rRNA from 1 species
GACGAACGCUGGCGGCGUGCUUAACACAUGCAAGUCGAACGGAAAGGCCCUGCUUUUGUGGGGUGCUCGAGUGGCGAACGGGUGAGUAACACGUGAGUAACCUGCCCUUGACUUUGGGAUAACUUCAGGAAACUGGGGCUAAUACCGGAUAGGAGCUCCUGCUGCAUGGUGGGGGUUGGAAAGUUUCGGCGGCUGGGGAUGGACUCGCGGCUUAUCAGCUUGUUGGUGGGGUAGUGGCUUACCAAGGCUUUGACGGGUAGCCGGCCUGAGAGGGUGACCGGCCACAUUGGGACUGAGAUACGGCCCAGACUCCUACGGGAGGCAGCAGUGGGGAAUAUUGCACAAUGGGCGGAAGCCUGAUGCAGCAACGCCGCGUGCGGGAUGACGGCCUUCGGGUUGUAAACCGCUUUCGCCUGUGACGAAGCGUGAGUGACGGUAAUGGGUAAGGAAGCGCCGGCUAACUACGUG